CACACCUUCCUACCUGUUCCCCGGGCCCAGGGCAGCACCCAGGCCGUCCCCGAGUCGACCCAGCACCUGGGCGCCGACCUGCGUCAGCAGCCUCCAACCCGGCAUGGAUUAGCCCGGGAAGACUCGACUCACGACUUCCGGGCGCCCUGCCGCUCUGCUUUCAGGGAGUCCCCACGCCACCGCCACGUGGACGCAGUAGCCGUGGGGAAGUUUUCGCAAUGGCCGCCGGAACGGUCGCCGGCCGAUGCUCUCUGCGACGGAAAGAAAGCCGCCGGACCCACUUCCGGUGCGUUUUACAAUGAACUCCGGGCACUCGAGUCGCUCCCCGGAAACUAUAGUUCUGCUUCCACCGUUGUCCUACUUUGGAUAGCAUCAAGACAAAAAUCUCAGUCUUCGAGGAACUCACAGUGUAGCAGAAAAGACAAAGGAGGUAAACAGGAGGAGCAUGAAUAAUUCAUCUUGAUGUAAUCAUGCAAGACUCCUAAGAAGAUGUUAGGAGACCCUGUCAUCAUUCUUUUGGCCUCUAGUGUCCUUUAUCUUCAUGUUUGCUGGCUUCCUUUUACUACUAUGGAAAUACAACAUAUGCAAAAGUAGUGUUUUCACUGUUUAAAAACAUCGUCAGCAGCAUCAUCAUCAUUAACUGCACCAGGAAGCCAUGACUCCUUUCUGGACAAGGUGCACUUGCCUGUCAUCCUUCCAUCUCUUUCUUCCUCCUUGAAGUUCACAAUACCCAGUCCAGGAGCAUUGCAGAGAAUGCUAGGUGUGUCUGCAGACUUGACUUUAAAAGAAAACAAGUUCCUUCAAGUGAGUUCAUCAUGAUGGGAAUGAUAAUUUGUUUGAGAGAAUGUGUGUUCUUUGGCAAAGGAACUCCUGUUAUACCAUGACAGUAAUAAUAGCAGUAAUAAAAUCACCAAUAAUAAAUUUACUUUUGAAUUUAU
ensembl:lncRNA novel transcript